UCGAGAAUCUUUCGCAAUGGGCGAAAGCCUGACGAAGCGACGCCGUGUGUGUGAUGAAGGCCUUCGGGUUGUAAAGCACUUUCGCCUGUGAACAAGAGAGAUAGGCUAAUAUCCUAUUGAUUUGAGAGUAGCAGGUAAAGAAGCACCGGCUAACUACGUGCCAGCAGCUGCGGUAAUACGUAGGGUGCAAGCAUUAAUCGGAUUUAUUGGGCGUAAAGGGCGCGUAGGCGGGAAGAUAAGUCAGAUGUGAAAUCCCGGAGCUCAACUCCGGAACAGCAUUUGAAACUGUCUUUCUUGAGGGUAGGCGGAGAAAACGGAAUUCCACAAGUAGCGGUGAAAUGCGUAGAUAUGUGGAAGAACACCAGUGGCGAAGGCGGUUUUCUAGCUUAUACCUGACGCUGAUGCGCGAAAGCAAGGGGAGCAAACAG
rnacentral:rRNA from 1 species